rnacentral:rRNA from 1 species
GAUGAACGCUAGCUACAGGCUUAACACAUGCAAGUCGAGGGGCAGCAUGGUCUUAGCUUGCUAAGGCCGAUGGCGACCGGCGCACGGGUGAGUAACACGUAUCCAACCUGCCGUCUACUCUUGGACAGCCUUCUGAAAGGAAGAUUAAUACAAGAUGGCAUCAUGAGUCCGCAUGUUCACAUGAUUAAAGGUAUUCCGGUAGACGAUGGGGAUGCGUUCCAUUAGAUAGUAGGCGGGGUAACGGCCCACCUAGUCUUCGAUGGAUAGGGGUUCUGAGAGGAAGGUCCCCCACAUUGGAACUGAGACACGGUCCAAACUCCUACGGGAGGCAGCAGUGAGGAAUAUUGGUCAAUGGGCGCAGGCCUGAACCAGCCAAGUAGCGUGAAGGAUGACUGCCCUAUGGGUUGUAAACUUCUUUUAUAAAGGAAUAAAGUCGGGUAUGUAUACCCGUUUGCAUGUACUUUAUGAAUAAGGAUCGGCUAACUCCGUGCCAGCAGCCGCGGUAAUACGGAGGAUCCGAGCGUUAUCCGGAUUUAUUGGGUUUAAAGGGAGCGUAGAUGGAUGUUUAAGUCAGUUGUGAAAGUUUGCGGCUCAACCGUAAAAUUGCAGUUGAUACUGGAUAUCUUGAGUGCAGUUGAGGCAGGCGGAAUUCGUGGUGUAGCGGUGAAAUGCUUAGAUAUCACGAAGAACUCCGAUUGCGAAGGCAGCCUGCUAAGCUGCAACUGACAUUGAGGCUCGAAAGUGUGGGUAUCAAACAGGAUUAGAUACCCUGGUAGUCCACACGGUAAACGAUG